rnacentral:rRNA from 1 species
AAUGAACGCUGGCGGCAGGCCUAAAACAUGCAAGUCGAGCGGAGCGGCGGACGGGUGAGUAAUGCCUCGGAAUCUGCCUGGUCGUGGGGGAUAACGUCCGGAAACGGGAGCUAAUACCGCAUACUCUCAGAUGAGCCUAGGUCGGUUUAGCUGGUGGGUGGGGUAAAGGCCUACCAAGGCGACGAUCCGUAACUGGUAUGAGAGGCUGAUCAGUCACACUGGAAUGGAGAGACGGUCCAGACUCCGACGGGAGGCAGCGGUGGGGAAUAUUGGACAAUGGGGGAAAGCCUGAUCCAUCCAUGCCGGGUGUGUGAAGAAGGUCUUCGGAUUGGAAAGCACUUUAAGUUGGGAGGCGUUACCAACAGAAUAAGCCCCGGCUAACUUCGUGCCAGCAGCCGCGGUAAUAC